rnacentral:rRNA from 1 species
UACGGGGGGGGCAAGCGUUGUUCGGAAUUACUGGGCGUAAAGGGCUCGUAGGCGGCCAACUAAGUCAGACGUGAAAUCCCUCGGCUUAACCGGGGAACUGCGUCUGAUACUGGAUGGCUUGAGUUUGGGAGAGGGAUGCGGAAUUCCUGGUGUAGCGGUGAAAUGCGCAGAUAUCAGGAGGAACACCAAUUGCGAAGGCAGCUCGCUGGGACGUUACUGACGCUGAGACGCGAAAGCGUGGGGAGCAAACAGG